rnacentral:lncRNA from 10 species
CCGAGACCUCGCAGGGAGGGUCAUCAGGGGCGCCAGGCCCAGGGCCACCACAGUGGAAGGUCUCCCCUUCCCCAGGCCUACUGCCUCCCCAGUGCCUCUGCCUGUGUGGUCCACCCUUGGGUUCAGCGCUAUGCCUAUGCAGUUGGCUCCCUCCAAUCCUCAAGCUGAGUGGGUAAAUUACGCUUUGCAGAGUGAGGGUUGCCACCUUCCUAAGCCUGGAACAGACUGGACUUGUAUGCUUGUAAAUCACCUGGUCCUCCUUUCCCUAGGCGUGAGUCGCCUCUGAAGCUUUGCCAGUGGGGCAUUCUGGCUCCAUCUCUGCUCCUCCAUUUUCUUAUCCAUAAAAUGUAGAUAAUAAUAGUGCUCCCAAAGGGACAAAAUGUAGACCUACUCUAUGUGAGGCUCUGGCACCGUUGCAUACCUCCAGGAGUGGGGUGCUCACCAGCAUCCAGGCAGCCCCAUCUAUUGUGGGGUGGCAUCAUAGGAGCAACUUGUUUUAGGGGAGGAGGGAGAAAGCCAAGGAAGGGUUAACCCAGGAUCUCAACAAAUGUCUGGCAAUGGGAUUUUCCCACAAUACGGCCAACUGAAGGCCCCUUGAGAACUAAGAGUUUUCCCAUCCUGGAGCUUCUCAGCCAUCUGGCCUUAGGAAACCACAGUCUUUCCUGCCUCCUGGCUUUUGCAAGCUCUUCCAUCACUCCCGCCUGCACACACCUUCUAUUGGAAGUCCUCUCAGAUUAUUCAGGUCAAAACCAACUCUACAUUUAUGGGUUCACCCAGUUCUGGUCCUCUUGUGUUACCUCAGCAGCAGCAGCAUGUGUGAUUUUCCUAAAUCCUUGAGGCACUGAAGGAUGAAGAAAAGGACAGUGGGUGUGGCACUGGGGAAGUGGCUUCCAGUCAUUAGCCACCCAGAGCUAACCUCCUCUCUUCCCUGAACUUCAGUUUCCCCAUCUUCCAAAUGUGAAAAUCGGGCUUGGGGACCUCUAAGGGCCCUAAGGCUGUGCUGUCCACUAUGAAUGCACUAUGUAAAUUAAAUUCAAAUGAACAAAAAUUAAAAUUUAAAAUUUGUCCUUCAAUC